rnacentral:lncRNA from 1 species
ACAAGAACGACUUAAAAAUAAACCCAAUGUUAUCAGUUGUAUUCCAUGGAAUAAACCAAAGCAACGUAGACCUGGUGAGGAACACUUCUAAAAUCACAAUUUGACAGUGAAGAGCUUUGCCUCUGCUCCCAAAGGCACAACUACUUUUACCACGGCUCUUCCACAGCAGUGAGACCCAGCACACAUGAGUUAACAGGACGAACACCACUGAACCUCAGACUGUUUUUGGUAUCGUGUCCCCUCCCCCUCCACUCUGGACAGAAGUCCAACAGCGGGGACUGUAGAAAACAACUCGUCCCAAACGUUAAAGCAAUUACAGCAUUUCUCAGAGACUGGAUUUAAACUGAAACCAGACUGAAAUACGUGGAUGCCCAUGGAAUGUUGAGCUGAAGCUGGUCUCCCAGCCUGCAGUGCAACACCUGCUGUUUAAAACCCAAUCUCCGUACCACAUGACUUUAAAAACACAAUCAUGUUCAGAGAUGCGAUACAAAUAAAACUACAGUUUUUGCACAUCGUCUCUUGAAUAUCUCACUGCCAAAUAAAAAUCCAAAUCAAGUCAAAUAAAUAGAUGCAUAUUUUGUUAAGGUAACUUCCACAAUUUUCUCUGUACCUGCCUGUAGUCAGAUUCCGGCAUUCAGAAAGUGCUGGAAAUCAUCUUCGCUUCUUGGGGACUAACACUUUUUUAUAGCUGGCUCGCUACAGAGUUUUGAACUCAGUUUUCUCAACCUUCGUAUGCCUUCCUUUGCAAUUGUUAGUAAACUGGUAGCAGCAUUUCACAAAAGGAGAAUUUAAAGGGAAGAGCUGUACGUAGCCAGCUCCCUCUCACCCUCUGCUCGUUGGGCCUAUUUGUCCAGGACAGGAGGCUUUCUCCAUCUUUAAGUGGCAUAGUGUCUGCCAUUCUUGCUAACUGCAAAUGUAAAAGCAUUUUAGCAAACCUGUACUCAGUCUAGGCAGACGUAAGGCAGGAUGUUCAAUCUACCAUCAUCCCCGUGUGGAUCUAAAGAUAUGCACUGUGUCCAAUCAUACCAGUUACCCUGUGUAUCAUAACAACCGUUCACGCCUGGCCAGUUAUGUUCACAUAUUCUGUUGAGAUCAUCACUCGUGACCUCCCUCGUGACCCCAGGCAAGUCUGUAGGUUUGCUGUUAGGAGCUAGAACGUGAGUCUUUCUAGCCUCUUUUCUAGUGCUUUCCUCCUGCUUUAAAUAUUCAGACAUGAAGUAGUGAGCUCCUGGAGUCUGUACUCCUGAUGAAGACAGCAAGCUACUCUGUCUGUUUAAAUAGGACUGAAUUAUUUCGUUUCUGGACAAUUCUUUCCAGUUCGUUUGUUCAAAGGGGCUUUGCAGGUUGGGUUUUUGCUCCUGCUUUUCCGUUUCUGUCCUGUGCUGUUCAGUAAGUGCAGGGAUUUCUACCUGCAAAGGAUCUUUCGGUGUUAAAGGUUUUAUCUGUCCUGUCAUGGGAUCAAAAGUGAGCUUCCUCUCUUUUAAUCUCACAGGUUUCACACCCCCUUCUGUCACGUGCCCAUCCAAGUUGACUGUAUAGUCUCUAGGUCGGUACCUUUUCUUCUUUUUGCUAUCUGAACCUGAAGCAGCAUCAUCACUGUCCAUUUUUGAAGCGUCCUGUGAAAAGCCAAUGUGCGACAUGAGAGAUUCCCCCGGGUGGGAGCUGGUUUUGCAACUGGGAGAUGUGUGCUGUGGAAGCGUCCCUGCUGUGUGCCUGUGCUGGCUGUCAGAAGGUACCUGCUGCUCCUGCCAGUGCUGAGACACCUCAGAUACUGAUUGCUGAGAGAACUCCAGUCUUUUCGCUGGCAUUGGAGGUGUUGAUGGUUGCAUCAAGGAUGGUGGUGGUGACGGCACCUGUGCAGUAUCUAAGAACUGAGACCUUUGAGAUGGACUAGGCAUUGAAUCCUUUGGUGAGUAUGUGGUAUGCUGCCGAGCAAAAGUAUCGUGCCUAACAUUUCUAGGACUAAAGGAGGAACAGCGCGGGCUCUUGGGUUGGUGCGACCCGGUGGUUUCUUCCAAUUUAUCAUGCUGCUGAAGCACUGCAGUCUUUAAUAACGAGGAAGUGCUUGAAGGUUUUACGAGUCCUGGAGAACUGGUGUGAGGUUUUACAGCAUUUACUGGGAUCUUAUUGUGUUUAUCAUUUUCACUAAGUUCUGUCCUGCUGCUUUCAGGCCCUGCAUGUAGAUUUACGUCUACAGGACUAGGAAAACUCUCGGGACUACCUCCAAUUCCAUUUGUUGGAGGGGGUGAAGAGUUUUGUAAUAUUUCAUGACUAACUUUGGAGACCUUCGGGGGAGGAGGGCCCUGAUGCCCAUCCCUAUGUUCACCUUUCCUUUUCCGAUUUCCCAAUUUCUCUGGUUUUGGAGAAUUUAGUUUCUGGAUAUCGUUCCUGCUUUUCAAUUCACUGAUGGGUUUUGACCCAGCCACGGCAGGAAGGGGCGCUUCUGGUUUGCAGUUGUGAGCACCACCAUUUGCUGAUCCGGGCGGAUUCUGCAGCCCUCUUGGCACUGCCUCAUUCGGGGUUACAGGUUCUAUCAACUUUUGCCAAUUCCGCAACAAUUUCUUGGCACGUUUGGCAAGUUCCUCAUUAGAUGUCUUCUUCCUCACCUCAUUG